rnacentral:tRNA from 3 species
GCCAACGUAGCUCAGCCGGUAGAGCAGCUGAUUCGUAAUCAGCAGGUCGUCGGUUCGAGUCCGACCGUUGGCUCCA